AUCCUGGCUCAGGAUGAACGCUGGCGGCGUGCCUAAUACAUGCAAGUCGAGCGAACAGAUAAGGAGCUUGCUCCUUUGACGUUAGCGGCGGACGGGUGAGUAACACGUGGGUAACCUACCUAUAAGACUGGAAUAACUCCGGGAAACCGGGGCUAAUGCCGGAUAACAUGUUGAACCGCAUGGUUCUACAGUGAAAGACGGUCUUGCUGUCACUUAUAGAUGGACCCGCGCCGUAUUAGCUAGUUGGUGGGGUAACGGCCUACCAAGGCGACGAUACGUAGCCGACCUGAGAGGGUGAUCGGCCACACUGGAACUGAGACACGGUCCAGACUCCUACGGGAGGCAGCAGUAGGGAAUCUUCCGCAAUGGGCGAAAGCCUGACGGAGCAACGCCGCGUGAGUGAUGAAGGUCUUCGGAUCGUAAAGCUCUGUUGUUAGGGAAGAACAAAUGUGUAAGUAACUGUGCACAUCUUGACGGUACCUAACCAGAAAGCCACGGCUAACUACGUGCCAGCAGCCGCGGUAAUACGUAGGUGGCAAGCGUUAUCCGGAAUUAUUGGGCGUAAAGCGCGCGUAGGCGGUUUUUUAAGUCUGAUGUGAAAGCCCACGGCUCAACCGUGGAGGGUCAUUGGAAACUGGAAAACUUGAGUGCAGAAGAGGAAAGUGGAAUUCCAUGUGUAGCGGUGAAAUGCGCAGAGAUAUGGAGGAACACCAGUGGCGAAGGCGGCUUUCUGGUCUGCAACUGACGCUGAUGUGCGAAAGCGUGGGGAUCAAACAGGAUUAGAUACCCUGGUAGUCCACGCCGUAAACGAUGAGUGCUAAGUGUUAGGGGGUUUCCGCCCCUUAGUGCUGCAGCUAACGCAUUAAGCACUCCGCCUGGGGAGUACGGUCGCAAGACUGAAACUCAAAGGAAUUGACGGGGACCCGCACAAGCGGUGGAGCAUGUGGUUUAAUUCGAAGCAACGCGAAGAACCUUACCAAAUCUUGACAUCCUUUGACCGCUCUAGAGAUAGAGUUUUCCUCUUCGGAGGACAAAGUGACAGGUGGUGCAUGGUUGUCGUCAGCUCGUGUCGUGAGAUGUUGGGUUAAGUCC
rnacentral:rRNA from 1 species